AACGAACGCUGGCGGCGCGUCUUAAGCAUGCAAGUCGAGCGGCAAGCGGUAGCAAUAUCGCCUAGAGCGGCGGACUGGUGAGUAACACGUGGGUGAUCUACCUUUGGGAUGGGGAUAGCCUGUGGAAACACAGGAUAAUACCGAAUACGUUGGCUUGAUUACGGUCAGGUCAGGAAAGGUCCGUUUGGACCGCCCGAAGAUGAGCCCGCGGCUGAUUAGCUUGUUGGCGGGGUAAUGGCCCACCAAGGCGAUGAUCAGUAGGCGGCCUGAGAGGGUGUACGCCCACAUUGGGACUGAGAUACGGCCCAAACUCCUACGGGUGGCAG
rnacentral:rRNA from 1 species